rnacentral:rRNA from 1 species
UUUGUCUGUAGCCCACCCACCGUGGGCUGCGAUCUUGUCAGACCUCCCAAGCUAAGUAGGGGGUGGCUUAUUCAGUACUUGAAUGGGAGACCUGGCAGGAGACUCACAGCACUGCCAGAA